rnacentral:rRNA from 1 species
ACAGUAGGAGGUGUGAAGAGAAUACUAGGUGGGACUCAAUGAGUUACCAGUUUGGAAUGAACGUAACUUAAGAAAUUCGAUGAGAAACAACUGGAGGGCAAGUCCUGGUGCCAGCAGCCGCGGUAAUUCCAGCUCCAGUAGUUUGCUUUAAAGUUGUUGCGUUUAAAACGCUCGUAGUUGGAUCACGCAGCAGUGCCCAGUAAUCUACUAUUAGACGUUUCAGUGAAACCCACUUGUGUGGCCUUUCAUGAGCUGUCAUUAGCAGAUACCAACGCUGAGCACUGUUAGUUGCACGUGAGAUGAAUUGUUGGCCUUUAUUGAGCCGGUAUUCUCGUCUUGCGGAGUGUGCCUUGAAUAAAACAGAGUGCUUAAAGCAGGUCGUUGCCUGAAUGUUAUAGCAUGGAACGAACAAUCGUGUAUAUGUGUGUAUCCUAGAUUGGUGACGAGCCUUAGGCUUGUUGUUGAUCUGGAUGCAUACGGCACCCACCUAAAUAUGGCUGUUGGUUCCAUAUACGGUGAUGAUUAAAAGGAGCGGUUGGGGGCAUCGGUAUUUGGCCGCGAGAGGUGAAAUUCUUAGACCGGCCAAGGACUAACAAAUGCAAAGGCACUUGUCUAGACCGUUUCCAUUAAUCAAGAACGAAAGUGGGAGGUUCGAAGACGAUCAGAUACCGUCCUAGUUCCCACCGUAAACUAUGCCGACCUGGGAUCAGUUUAGAGAUGUUACAAGCUCUAGAUUGGUCCCCCUGGGAAACCUCAAGUUUUUCGGUUACGGGGAGAGUAUGGUCGCAAGGCUGAAACUUAAAGGAAUUGACGGAAGGGCACCACCAGGGGUGGAGCCUGCGGCUUAAUUUGACUCAACACGGGGAAACUUACCUGGUCCGGACAUCGAUAGGAUUAACAGAUCAAUAGCUCUUUUAUGAUGCGAUGAGUGGUGGUGCAUGGCCGUUCUUAGUUCGUGGAGUGAUCUGUCGGCCUAAUCGCGGUAACGAACGAGACCAUAAUCUCCAUUUAAGAGAUAGAAGCAGACGUCUGUGCGAGUGGAGUCGCAAGAUUUCACCCGUCGGGUGUUGCAGGUUGCAUUGUGCGUCGCAUUGUCAAAGUGUAGGGGCAACCUGAAACUUUGGUGGUGUGGUGUGCUUUGUUCCCUUCUAUUGAGCAGCAAUCGGUCUCGACUGGUUGUUGCCUUAUGGAGAGACAACGAGGUAUAUACAAGCUCGAGGAAGAGUGGCUAUAACAGGUCAGUGAUGCCCUUCGAUGUUCAGGGCUGCACGCGCGCUACAAUGAUAACGACAACGAGUGUCUGCGUCGAAAGACGUGGGUAAUCUUUAAUCGUUAUCGUGAUGGGGAUUGACCGUUGUAACUGUCGGUCAUGAAAGAGGAAUCCCUAGUAUGCGUAUUUUAUUAGAAUGCGCAGAUUAAGUCCCUGCCCUUUGUACACACCGCCCGUCGCUACUACCGAGUGAAUGGUGUCAUGAUGCGCUGGGACUGGACGUUGGAUGGGUCCUCGGGCUCGUCCGACGCUGGGAUCAGCG